ACCAAUCCCAAAAAGCUCAUUAAUUUUUUCAGAGGAAGGCUCACUGUAAAUAAAACUUGGAUGGUCAGAUCACAAUUAAAAGUUACAGUGCUAUUUAAAAAUGAAUAUGGCUGUUCAGCAGAAAUUACUUUUCUUCCGAGAAAAGUGUUUUUGAGAAUGUUAAUAACAUCUCGGUCCAAAAUUCCUCCGCAUCCUGCAUUCCAUCAAUGAUGUCAUUUAGCAUAUAAUUUCAAAUAUACCAAUAAAUUGACUGGUUACAAACCGUGAGCACAGUCCAAAAUGCAGAGUCAGAUACCUAGUUUACAAGAUAUGUAUAAACAUUCAUGGAUUACAAACAGUGAGUAACCUGUUGCAUGUAGGAAUCCCCUUCUUUUUGCUGAAACUGGUUGUUCUUAGCCCGCAACAUCUGAUUAGAUUACACCACACAACAAUUAUUGAGAAUAUCUAGAGAAUAUUACAAUAUGUCAUACUGAAAAGUCUAUAAACUUGUGUGUUUACAAAAGUCUAUAAAAGUCUAAGAAGUGUUUUCAUUAAUCAAAAUAGAGAAAAUUCUAGGAACUGCUGUGAAAGCGGAUACCUCUUCGAAUUAUCAGUCCGAAAUUGAACCGUGUUGCCUUAAUUACGAAUAUGGUUACAAUUCCUUCCAUUCUAAACAUAAGUUAUCUAGUCUUUAUGCUCUAAUUGUACCAACAUUUUCCAUCGAAUACUAUGGAGCUGUUUAUAUCAUAAAUCUUGAUGAUUAAUAUGAUGAAAUGAGAACAACAUUAUGAAAUUAGGAUCAGUUUAUGUUUUAUAUAACUACUGACAUGGCAUAGACAGCAACAUAAGAUGUUUUAUUUCUUAAAAAACCUUGUUAACAUAUAAUUGACUAUGUUGGGGUGCUAAGAGCUGAAUGGAAAAACACCUGACCUUUAAAAAUCGCUCUGGUUUAAUCGCCUUGUCACUUUGACUAAGGUCUCUAAAAAGAUCACGAGCCUCAAUAGUCAAGUCAUGCGCUUUCUGAUCAGUAUUUUUACCCUUGUGGUCUGAAUACCUGCAUCAGUGGAAUUACAGAAGGCAAGGAAAUUAUUAAUAGUACAAAUAUUUCCAGCACCAAUGGAAGGGGAUCGGGGCGUUAAUUUUUGCAGAACCUCAUUAAGAUGGAAGUCAGCUCAGGUACGGCACGUAAACAUUGGAUCGUUGAAUUCAUAUAGCAUGUAUUGCCUAGAUUGUGCAAACCAAUAGGCGCAGCAAUGUCAAUGCGUUCCUGAGAUUCAAAACAACAAAGAUUAAUGUUACAACUUACAGGAGUUGAGAAUAACAAGGAUAAACCGCCAGGUAGAUCAUUACCUUGCAUGAAACAACCUGUUUUGCAGCGAAGCUUUCUGAUUCCAGCAUUGGCACUGAUACGGGAUGAUGCGCUACUCUGGUAUGUACAGAAGCACUUGGAAGGGUAGUAUCCUUGGGGCCUGCAGGGUUGGUGUUAUUUUCUGCUGAACCUCCUGCUUCCUUUUUUGCGGUAUGUUUGGAAAAAUACCCAACAUCACCGAUCUGGCUGCCAUGCAGUCUUUCUUCCAGCGGCGGGCAGCCGUCAAACGUUCAUCUCCCAGAAUCUCUUGCCCACAGAAGUUGUGAUAUAUGUGAUAAAAGAGAUCAUCAGAUCGGGCUGCUUCUGGCAAGUGAAGAAUAAGCGUCUGUCCAGCAGCGAUCGCCUUGUUUCUCGACUGCAGUGUAUGCAAAUCUGGGCUAUCUACGCACCGGUACAUUUCUUUGAAUGAUGGGAGGAUUGCAGGAUAUCCUAAUCCAGAUUUCUGAGCAUUUACAUAGUUCCCACACCAAGGCAAUAGACUAGCCAUGCUUAUGUAAAUAGGCUUUGCUUGGGCCCUGCUCUGUUUGCCACUUGUUUUGAUCCUGUUUUCCUUAGCUUUGAUAUCCUUUGGAUUCCCUGUACUUACGAUUAUGUAACCGUCUAGGUAGCCUGAUGGGCCAUCAAUGACGGCACAUAACCACUGGGACUUGUAGUGCAUAUAGACCAGGAAGUUACCAGAACUAGGGAGAACGCAACUUGAUUUGCCAGGCAUCCCAAACUCAAACCUUUCAUCACUAUUGUUAUAACACCAUAA